AGUGAACGCUGGCGGCGUGCUUAACACAUGCAAGUCGAACGAGAACGGAUUAUAGCUUGCUAUAAUUGUCAGCUAAGUGGCGCACGGGUGAGUAAUAUAUAGGUAACGUGCCCCAAAGAAGAGGAUAACAGAUGGAAACGUCUGCUAAGACUCUAUAUGCCUUUAUGACAAAAGUCAGCAAGGGAAUAUUUAUAGCUUUGGGAUCGGCCUGUACAGUAUCAGUUAGUGGUGAGGUAAUGGCUCACCAAGACAAUGACGCUUAACUGGUUUGAGAGGAUGAUCAGUCACGACUGGAACUGAGACACGGUCCAGACUCCUACGGGAGCAGCAGUGGGGAUAUUGCACAAUGGACGAAAGUCU
rnacentral:rRNA from 1 species